rnacentral:rRNA from 1 species
UACGGGGGGAGCAAGCGUUGUUCGGAUUUACUGGGCGUAAAGGGCGCGUAGGCGGCGUGACAAGUCACUUGUGAAAUCUCUGGGCUUAACCCAGAACGGCCAAGUGAUACUGUCGUGCUAGAGUGCGGAAGGGGCAAUCGGAAUUCUCGGUGUAGCGGUGAAAUGCGUAGAUAUCGAGAGGAACACCUGAGGUGAAGACGGGUUGCUGGGCCGACACUGACGCUGAGGCGCGAAAGCGUGGGGAGCAAACAGG